AAAUCCGGCUCUGUGCCUAUGAAGACGGAAGCAGCAGCAUUCCGCUUGCAGGUUUUUGAAAAAACAAAUGGGGCAAGAGAGGCCAGGACCACGCCUGACUCAGGCGAUCGGACGGGCAGGGAGGCUGCAAGGCAUGGCAUGAGCAGGUGGAGCUGUCAGGACUGCCCCAGCCCCUGGCUCAAAGAUGCCCGACCCCAGGACCCUGCCUCGCUGGAUGGUGAAGGCCAACUUCCCCUCUGUUGGAGCUGGCCUGGGCGUUGUGGGAAGGGCUGGGAGGAGGCCCAGGACAAUGCAGAACAGACAGGACGUUUCACAGAGCAGGCUGCCAUGUCCCUCGGGGCCUUGGGGGCUGCUGAGGCCCUGAGAAAGCCUAUGGAGAGGCCACGUUGAGUCCAGAGGUCCGUGCGCCUCAUGGCCACAUCACGGCACCCGUUCACCCACACAAGGGCCAGGAGCAUCCCCUAGGGAGGAGGAGAUGGCAGAUCUGCACAGGCUCUGCGCUCCUCUCUCUCCGGAGCGUCCUCUCCUCUGUGUGGCAGGCUCGGCGCGU
rnacentral:lncRNA from 1 species